CCGUACACCAGGGUGUGGGCUGUACACAAAAUCAGGGUCAAAUAACCCAGUUUGGACUAUAAACAAGAAACAAAAAUAUGAGUAGAGGAAAAUAUAUAAGAAGAGAUUUACCUGGGUAACGGUUAAGUUUCCCAAUCUCCAUCGUACAUAAUAUCGAAUAGGAAUCACAAGUGUGUAGAGGACAUGAAGGAAGGCAAAUCCCAGAGCUACCAAGCCAAGCUGCUUUCGGCAAAGCAUCCAGUGGUCAAGCCAGUCUGGGAAUCGACGGUAUUUUGUGCCUCGGUACAGUUGUAGAAUGGCAGCAAUAACACCAGGGAGGUAAACCAAAGCAAGCAGUUGCUCCUGACUGGAGAGCCCAGGCUGAGAUGGUGUUAAAUGCUUUUACCACGUGGGCUCCUGGCACCAACUGAGCAAGAUCCCACCCCACAGGCCUUGGAAGCCUGAGGCAGUAUUCUUCUGGGAUAUUUCCAACUAGGCUUCCCAUGAGCAUGUUAGAGCCAGCCUAGCUGGUGAAUUUUACUUCUGUCACCUCUCAGAGAAAUCUGUAAAGAACAGAGACAAAUAG
rnacentral:antisense_RNA from 1 species